rnacentral:lncRNA from 1 species
AUGGAAGAUAUUUUAGACGAAAUAAUUUCGAUAAGUAAAAAAAAAAAAAAAAAAGAAGAAGAGAGAGCAGUAGUUAAGGGAAAACUAAACAAAAAAAAAAGCAACACAAAUAUAUAUACUGAAAAACAAUAUGAAAAAAAUUACGGAACAAAUAAUUAUAAUUCAAAUGAAAAUAAAAAAAAAGGUUUAAUAAAAAAUAAAAGCACAUGGGAUAUAUCAACCACAUGCUCAAGUAUUGAAGGUGUUAAUUAUAAUGAUAGAAAUGGGGAUGACAAAACUUACAGCAAUAAUGAAAACAAUAGCAAUGAAGACAGCAGCAGUGAUGAAAGUAGCAGUGAUGAAAGCAGCAGUGAUGAAAGCAGCAGUGAUGAAAGAAGCAGCGAUAACAACGACAAAAAUAAUAAUAUAUAUGAUAAAGAUUAUAUACAAAUUGAAAAAAAAAAUAUUUUUAGUACUAUAAUAAAUAAUACUAAAUCACAUGAGUCUGAAAGUUUGUUAUAUUAUAAAGACAUCGAAAAAAAUGCUGAUGAAACAACUCCAUUAUUCUUAAAUAAACAAACAUUAAAUAAUUAUUUAGUUACAGUAAAUGAUAUAAAUACAAACAUAAGUAAUAUAUAUAAAAAUAUAGAUAAAAUAAAUGUUAUUAAAAAAAAAAUAGAUUUAAAUAUUUAUGACAAUGAGAAAUUGUAUACAAAAAUAAAUGUUAUAAUUAAUAACUCUGAAGAAAUAGUAAAAUAUAUAAAAAUAAAAAUAAAUGCAUUAAAUGAAGAAAAUGAGAAUUUUGAAAAAAAUAAUACUAUGGUAAGUGAAAUAAAAUUACGUAUAAACAUAUUCAUUGAUGUUGUCAAUAAAUAUAAAACUUGUAUAAACAAAUAUAAAAAUAUAUGUAAUCAAUAUUAUGAACAUGUUAAUAAAAAUGUUAUAAAACAUUAUAAAUUAAUACAUCCAAAUUUAAGUGAUCAUAAUAUACAUAAAUUAUUAAAACAAAAUAAACUUUCUAUUGACACAUUUCAAAAUAUAAAUAAAAAUUCUUACAAAAAUGAUAUGUUAUAUUGUACAAACAUAGAACAGUUUGAAGUUGAAAAAAUAAAACAAAAACAUAAAGAAUUAAAAAAAUUAGAAACAAAUAUAAUAUCAUUAAACGAAUUAUAUAUUGAGCUAGCUUAUGUAAUUAAAAAAAGAAAAAAUCUUAUUAACAAUAUUGAAGACAAUGUUUACCAAGUCAAAAAUUAUACAGAAGAUGCUCUUCAUAAUAUUGUCGAGGCAAAAAGAUAUAAUACUAUUAUUAAAAAAAAAAUACUUUAUUUUAGCAUUUUCUUAUUAAUAGUUGCUUUUAUCAUUUUAUGUCCUGUUCUAUUUAAUUAUUCACUAUUUUAA